rnacentral:rRNA from 1 species
GUAGGGAAUCUUCCACAAUGGACGAAAGUCUGAUGGAGCAACGCCGCGUGAGUGAAGAAGGUUCUCGGAUCGUAAAACUCUGUUGUGAGGGAAGAACAAGUACCGGAGUAACUGCCGGUACCUUGACGGUACCUCAUUAGAAAGCCACGGCUAACUACGUGCCAGCAGCCGCGGUAAUACGUAGGUGGCAAGCGUUGUCCGGAAUCAAUGGGCGGAAAGCGCGCGCAGGCGGUCCCUUAAGUCUGAUGUGAAAGCCCACGGCUCAACCGUGGAGGGUCAUUGGAAACUGGGGGACUUGAGUGCAGAAGAGGAAAGCGGAAUUCCAAGUGUAGCGGUGAAAUGCGUAGAGAUGUGGAGGAACACCAGUGGCGAAGGCGGCUUUCUGGUCUGUAACUGACGCUGAGGCGCGAAAGCGUGGGGAGCAAACAGGAUUAGAUACCCGAGUAGUCC